AGUCUCUUGUCCUACUAGUCAGAACACAAAAAGAAACAGGAAGGCAUUUAAUAUUCUGAAAUGAGGAAAGCAAAGUAGCUUGCCAAAUUACCAGCUAAAAAAGAUUUAUGCAAGCCUAGUUUGACUUUUCACAUAAACCUUGAGUAUCCGCGUCGAAUAAGGACACUUGCACAUGGGUAUGACACUUUUUGACGCUUCAAAUUAAAUGGAAAAAAUAUUUGCAUCUGACCCCAAGGGCACCCACGUCAGGUAUUCAUGCUCAAAUCCGAGCAACAUAUAAUUGAAGGGAAAAAACCUAAAUGGCCAUUACCAAAAAUGUUGACCUAGCAUCUGAUAAUUAGGAAGUCAGCUCAAGAAAUAAGUUUAUAUUAAUUUAACAGAGUUGUAUGCGUCGGUGUAUAGUUUAAACACAAGAAGAAACACUCCUAGCAGUCUUCUCUAUAGCUUCCUCUAUUGAGAAGAAAGAUACCUGGAGCCUUUUCUGUUUGUUCA
rnacentral:misc_RNA from 1 species